rnacentral:lncRNA from 1 species
UUUGUGAAGAUAAAGGAUAUUAGUGGGAAGCGGAAGAGGAACCAAAACAGUUUCCAUUUGCAUGGUUAGAGUAAGUUUCUUCAUGUCUAGCACUAUCGAGUUUUUGCUUACAAGGUGUUUGAUUAAAUGCUUUUGAAAAUUUUGACUUAUUAUUUGGCUUGUUUUGAUGAUUUUAGCUUCUGCCAUGUGUGGUGGUUAAGCAUUGUUCAUUUGUUAGCUUCUAUCAUGAAUGGUUAAGCCUUGGUUAUUGUUGGUUCACAAAGUGUUUGUGAAAAGUCGUCAGAGAAGACAAAUUUUGUAAUUCUUCUAUUUUGUUGAUGUAAG